rnacentral:rRNA from 1 species
AUGAGGUCGUUGACGCCGCCGCAUGUGCCGGGGCUGUGGGAGAGGGAAGAACUCGUGGAGGUCCUGAUCCGCAUUCCGCCGGACGAGCCGGCGGACCUCAUCCGCGCCUCCCUCGUCUGCAAGGCUUGGUGCCGCCUCCUCUCCGGCCACGUCUUCCGCGGCCGCUACCGCACCUUGCACAAAACACCUCCAGUCCUGGGCUUCCUACAAAGCUGGGAUGACAACGUCGAGCGCUUCGUCCCGACCACAAAAUUCCGCCCCCGCAGUCCCAAGCGUCGGGACAGCUUCGUGCUCGACUGCCGCCAUGGCCGCGUUCUUCUUGGGUGUGAGUGGGACAGGGAAGAUGAGGAAGAGGAGGAAGAGGAGGAAGAGAAGGAAGAGAAGGAGGUGGAGGAUGUCAACUGGAAGAUGGUCGUCUGGGACCCAGUGUCUGGGAGCCGGACGGAGUUGCACAACAUCUUCGGCCCUGACAGCAACCGCGCAAACUAUACGGCCACGGUGCUCUGUGCAACGGAUGGCUGCAACCACACUGCCUGCAACUUGGGCCCAUUUUUCGUCGUUGUAGCUUUUGUCAGCCUUCAUGAUAAGAGGCUCGUGUUGGCGUCUGUAUACUCAUCGAAGACCCGGGAGUGGACCUCGCCGGCCUCUAUUCAUAUCGGCGGCGUUGGAACACUUGGAGCCUACAUCGUCGCAAGGCCUGCCGUUAUCGUUGGACAAGCGCUCCACUUCCUCCUUCGUCGAGAUGAGGGCAUUUGCAUUCUCAAGUAUGACUUGGUUAGGCAUCGCCUAUCGGUCAUUGAUCCACCAGGGCUGCGUACAUUGACGUGGAACCCUCUCCUCAUUUCGCCGGACGACGGUGGGCUGGGUGUCGUCCACCUAGACCAGCAUGGGCUAUGCCUCAUUUGGUCGAUGGAGGUGAGUCGUGAUGGAGAAGUGUCAUGGAUUCAGGUUAGAGAAAUGGACCUCAAGACACUUGUCCCCAGUGGCAAUCCCAGGACCUCAUAUUCAUUAAAGUUGGUUGGCUGUGUGGAGGGCACCGAUAUCAUCCUUGCGAUCACAUAUCUUGGUGCAUUCCGAAUUGAUCUCAAGUCCCUGAGGUUGAGAAAGUUGUCGAGUAAGCCAAAUAGGGGCACAAUUGAGCGGGAAAUAUUUGAGAACCUCUUUCUCUACAUGAGCUUCAACAAUCCACCAGCGGUGGCAAGUGCUGUGGCGGUGGCUGAAACAAGUGAAGCAGGGCGCCGUGUGUCUUGA